rnacentral:rRNA from 1 species
GAUGAACGCUAGCGGCAGGCUUAACACAUGCAAGUCGAGGGGCAGCGCGGGAUAGCAAUAUCCUGGCGGCGACCGGCGGAAGGGUGCGUAACGCGUGAGCGACAUGCCCGUUGCCCGGGGACAACCGGUGGAAACGCCGACUAAUCCCCGAUGGGAUGCGAUGCUUCAUGGCAUUGUAUUGAAAGUUACGGCGGCGACGGAUUGGCUCGCGUCCGAUUAGCUGGUUGGCGGGGUAACGGCCCACCAAGGCUGCGAUCGGUAGGGGUUCUGAGAGGAAGGCCCCCCACAAUGGGACUGAGACACGGCCCAUACUCCUACGGGAGGCAGCAGUGAGGAAUAUUGGUCAAUGGGCGGAAGCCUGAACCAGCCAUGCCGCGUGCGGGAAGGAGGCCCUAUGGGCUGUGAACCGCUUUUGCCUGGGGGCAAUAAGGGCGUCGCGCACGUCCGAUGAGAGUACCAGGCGAAUAAGCAUCGGCUAACUCCGUG